rnacentral:rRNA from 1 species
GACGAACGCUGGCGGCGUGCUUAACACAUGCAAGUCGAACGGAAAGGCCCUGCUUUUGUGGGGUGCUCGAGUGGCGAACGGGUGAGUAACACGUGAGUAACCUGCCCUUGACUUUGGGAUAACUUCAGGAAACUGGGGCUAAUACCGGUUAGGAGCUCCUGCUGCAUGGUGGGGGUUGGAAAGUUUCGGCGGUUGGGGAUGGACUCGCGGCUUAUCAGCUUGUUGGUGGGGUAGUGGCUUACCAAGGCUUUGACGGGUAGCCGGCCUGAGAGGGUGACCGGCCACAUUGGGACUGAGAUACGGCCCAGACUCCUACGGGAGGCAGCAGUGGGGAAUAUUGCACAAUGGGCGGAAGCCUGAUGCAGCAACGCCGCGUGCGGGAUGACGGCCUUCGGGUUGUAAACCGCUUUCGCCUGCGACGAAGCGUGAGUGACGGUAAUGGGUAAAGAAGCACCGGCUAACUACGUG